UAAUCUGAUCUUUUUGAACUUUCAG
rnacentral:piRNA from 1 species